rnacentral:rRNA from 1 species
UAGGGAAUCUUCCGCAAUGGGCGAAAGCCUGACGGAGCAACGCCGCGUGAGUGAAGAAGGUCUUCGGAUCGUAAAACUCUGUUAUUAGGGAAGAACAAAUGUGUAAGUAACUAUGCACGUCUUGACGGUACCUAAUCAGAAAGCCACGGCUAACUACGUGCCAGCAGCCGCGGUAAUACGUAGGUGGCAAGCGUUAUCCGGAAUUAUUGGGCGUAAAGCGCGCGUAGGCGGUUUUUUAAGUCUGAUGGGAAAGCCCACGGCUCAACCGUGGAGGGUCAUUGGAAACUGGAAAACUUGAGUGCAGAAGAGGAAAGUGGAAUUCCAUGUGUAGCGGUGAAAUGCGCAGAGAUAUGGAGGAACACCAGUGGCGAAGGCGACUUUCUGGUCUGUAACUGACGCUGAUGUGCGAAAGCGUGGGGAUCAAACA